CACAAAGCCUACAAAAAAUGGAAAUAAACUGAUUGGCCUCAAUGAGCUCAUAGACCAAGGGAAGCACAGACAAGCAGUCAUGUGCAAAACUGUUCCACAAAAGAUUAUUCCUCGUGUCAAGGAUAACGUCUGGGCCUGCCUGUCAGACAAGAUGCAACAAAGGAAGUAGCAGAAAAGCUAAAUCUUAAAGCAAAGUCAUGCUAGAAAGAGUCCUGCAUAUGCCAAAAUAUCUUCCAUGGAGGACACAAAUGAACAGCAGAACUCUUGCUCCCAUGAAUUGGCAAGUAUAGUCAGAAGUCUCCCCACUGUGGAUGGGAGACAGAAAAGAAAGAAAGAGCCUGAAUUACUGAGGGGCCUGAACAGAACAAAAUGUCAGAGGAAAGUUGAAUUCGCUCUCUGCUUGUGAGUGCUUGAACUGGAACAUGGAUUGGCCCUCAGUGCUCCUGUUUCUUAGGCCUUCAAGACUAGAUCAGAAUCUUCACCAUCAGCACUGUUUGUCCUCCUGCUUUCAGGCCUUCAAACCACACCACCAGCUUUCCUUGGUGCCCAGCUGGCAGUUGGCUCAUUGUGGGAUCUCUCAGCCUCUGUAAUCACAUAACAAAUACUUUACAAUACAUCUCUUUUACCAUCUAAUAUAAACUAUGUAUAUAAUACAUCGCAUAUAAUAUAUAUAUUGUCUAUUUUAUACACACACACACACACACACACACACACACACCCUAUGCAUCUGUAUCCCUCCUUUUGGUUCUGCUCCUCUAGAGAACCCUGACCGAUAUAAUAUCAUCAACUGAAGACAACGUGUUUUACCGAACCACCAGCAGGAGAUGUAUUUUCACUUAUUGGAGUUGUUUGAAAGAGUUAACAAGU
rnacentral:lncRNA from 1 species